CCUACUUACGUUUGUAACACUUUAUUAUAAAGUUAAUAAUUAUUAAGCAUUUCCUAACAAUUGUCUUUGUAUUUUACGUCAUCUUCAACAAGUUUCGUAACUUAAUCGAGGUCACCUGAAGGACGGCGUUCCUGAGUUUCCUCAGCAACGGCAAGACCCGCACUCCUCUCAUAUCGUGAAGUUUAACGAGUUUCGCGGCUCAAGCAAGAGGCACCUGUCACUGAAGGACUGCUUUUCUCAGCAACGACGUGAACAGCAUUACUCGAAUUUCCUGGUUCAGCUGAUCUACCCGUCUUCGUACACGCAGAGUUGGCAGAGGAGGUCAUACAAAUCUACAUCCUUCGGGACAAUGAUGGGGCAGUCAGCGAUGUAGGAGUUGUGAUUGAGGGCAUCACUGUCCUCCGCAGUCUUGGGAAUCUCAGCAGAGCCUGCUGCUAUCUUUUGGGAGUCACGUAUGCAUUCAGUCCACUGCUUCCGCAGGUCCCCCAAGGUCUGGAAUUGGUCCUUCUCCACAAUCUUCCUCAGGGUCCGGUCACCUCUUCUCGUUGUGCAGCGUUUUUUGCCA